GGUCUUUUGUUUAUAUAAAAGAUCUGGCCUGCCCAAUGAUUUUUUAAUGGCUGCAGUAUUUUGACUGUACAAAGGUAGCAUAAUCAUUUGUCUUUUAAUUGAAGUCUGGAAUGAAUGGUCGGAUGAGGGAUUUACUUUCUUUAUUUUAAAUAUAAAAUUUAAUUUUUAAAUCAGAAAGUUUAAAUAUUAAUAUAGGACGAGAAGACCCUAUAGAACUUUAUUUAUAAUAAAUAUUUAUUAUUUUGUAAAUUAUUAUUAUAUAUUUUAAUAUAAAUUUUAUUGGGGUGAUAAAAAAAAUUUUUUAACUUUUUUUAUUUUUUUCAUUUAUAAAUGUAUUUUUGAUCCUUUAUUAGGGAUUAAAAGAAUAAGUUACCUUAGGGAUAACAGCGUUAUUAUUUUAGAGAGUUCAUAUUGAUAAAAUAGUUUGCGACCUCGAUGUUGGAUUAAAAUUAGCUUCAGGGGCAGAAUAUUGAUGGCUAAGUCUGUUCGACUUUUAAAUUUUUACAU
rnacentral:rRNA from 1 species